rnacentral:miRNA from 1 species
UUUAAGAACCGAUUUUGUAUACUACAUAUAAAAUCGAUUCUUAGAUAACCGAUUUUAAAAGUAAUACUUUUAAAAUCGGUUCUUAAA